GCAUUGCUCAGUCGGUAGAGCAUGAGACUCGCAAUCUCGGGGUCGUGGGUUCGUACCCCACGUUGGGCG